UACGUAGGGACCGAGCGUUGUCCGGAUUCAUUGGGCGUAAAGAGCUCGUAGGCGGCCACUCAAGUCGAAUGUGAAACCUCGAGGCUUAACCUCGAGCCUGCAUUCGAUACUGGGCGGCUAGAGUCUGGUAGGGGGAUCUGGAAUUCCUGGUGUAGCGGUGGAAUGCGCAGAUAUCAGGAGGAACACCGGUGGCGAAGGCGGCCCGCUGGGCAGGAAGACACCGCAAGGUGUCGGCUGACGCUGAGGCGCGACAGCGUGGGGAGCAAACAGG
rnacentral:rRNA from 1 species